rnacentral:rRNA from 1 species
UACGGAGGGUGCAAGCGUUGUUCGGAUUUAUUGGGCGUAAAGGGCGUGUAGGCGGUUUGUUAAGUCUGAUGUGAAAGCCCCGGGCUCAACCCGGGAAGUGCAUUGGAAACUGGCGAACUUGAGUACGGGAGAGGGCAGUGGAAUUCCUAGUGUAGGAGUGAAAUCCGUAGAUAUUAGGAGGAACACCAAUGGCGAAGGCAGCUCGCUGGGACGGUACUGACGCUGAGACGCGAAAGCGUGGGGAGCAAACAGG